CCUACGGGUGACAGCAGUGGGGAAUAUUGCACAAUGGGGGAAACCCUAAUGCAGCGACGCCGCGUGAGUGAAGAAGGAUUUCGGUAUGUAAAGCUCUGUCAGCAGGGAAGAAAAUGACGGUACCUGACCAAGAAGCCCCGGCUAACUACGUGCCAGCAGCCGCGGUAAUACGUAGGGGUCAAGCGCUAUCCGGAUUUACUGGGUGUAAAGGGGGCGUAGACGGCAGGGCAAGUCUGGAGUGAAAGGCCCGGGCUCAACCCCCGGACUGCACUUGAAACUGCCAGGCUGGAGUGCAGGAGAGGUAAGUGGAAUUCCUGGGGUAGCGGUGAAAUGCGUAGAUAUUAGGAGGAACACCAGUGGCGAAGGCGGCUUACUGGACUGUAACUGACGUUGAGGCGCGAAAGCGUGGGGAGCAAACAGGAUUAGAUACCCGUGUAGUC
rnacentral:rRNA from 1 species